GAAACAUCUGAGCUAUGCUCAGUUUUUCAAGAGAUUAAAAUUUGGAUCUUCAUUGAACCAGUGGAGAAAAUGAUGAAAUCCUUCAGAGUUUUGCUAGCAAUCCUGUGGCUUCAGCUAAGCUGGGUGAGGAGCCAACAGAAGGAGGUGGAGCAGACUCCCAAAUCCCUCAGUGUUUCUGAGGGAUCCACGGCUUCUCUGAACUGCACUUAUAGCAACAUUGCUUCUCAGUACUUCUUUUGGUACAGACAGUAUUCUGGGAAAGGCCCUGAGGUUCUCAUGUCCAUAUUCUCCACUGGUGACAAAGAAGAAGGAAGAUUUAUAGCACAGCUCAAUACGGCCAGCCGAUAUGUGUCCCUGCUCAUCAGAGACUCUCAGCCCAGUGACUCAGCCACCUACCUCUGUGCAGUUAGUACACAGUGCUCCCCAGGCACCUGCAGCCUGCACCCAAACCUGCUGGGGCCCCAGCAAUGCCUGAUACAGAACUUAUACUGCAGGGCAGAGAAGUUCUCUUUGCUCUCUUGAGGCAAAUGGAAAUUAAGAGUAAUAAUCUGGAGUGUUUAAUUGAUUAGGAAAGUAUUUUCACAAUUAUGAAAAUAUU